GACGAACCGUGCGAACGUUGUUCGGAAUCAUUGGGCGUAAAGGGUGCGUAGGCGGCGCGGUAAGUCGGGUGUGAAAUCUCGGAGCUUAACUCCGAAACUGCAUUCGAUACUGCCGUGCUUGAGGACUGGAGAGGAGACUGGAAUUUACGGUGUAGCGGUGAAAUGCGUAGAUAUCGUAAGGAAGACCAGUGGCGAAGGCGGGUCUCUGGACAGUUCCUGACGCUGAGGCACGAAGGUCAGGGGAGCAAACGGG
rnacentral:rRNA from 1 species